GCGCCGGUGGUGUAAGGCGAACAUCGCUGCCCGGAAAGCAGAAGGUGCGGGUUCGAGUCCCGACUGGCGCA
rnacentral:tRNA from 1 species